GAGGGUAUAGCUCAAGUGGUAGAGUGCAUGCUUAGCAUGCACAAGGUCUUGGGUUCAAUUCCAAGUACCUCCU
rnacentral:tRNA from 1 species